GAUGAAGAACGCAGCGAAAUGCGAUAAGUAAUGUGAAUUGCAGAAUUCAGUGAAUCAUCGAAUCUUUGAACGCACCUUGCACCCUUUGGCAUUCCGAAGGGUAUGCUCGUUUGAGUGUCAUUGUACUCUCACACUUCUGAUCCUUUGGAUUGGGAGCGGUGGACUUGGGUGUUGCUGCUUUACUGUGGCUCACCUCAAAUGCAUUCGUGCAACUCUUGGUUGGACAUAGUACGGCGUGAUAAGUAUCUUCGCCGGCACCUCGCAAGAGGGUGGCUGAUCAGGAGCUCUGUGCUUGCCAACUGUCUUCAGACAACAACUGACAACUUGACCUCAAAUCGAGUAGGACCACCCGCUGAACUUAAGCAUAUCAAUAAGCGGAGGA
rnacentral:misc_RNA from 1 species